rnacentral:tRNA from 1 species
CAAGAUAGAGCUUGGGUAGUUAAGCAUCUCACUUACGUUGAGAAGUUCGUUGUGCAAUUCAAUGUAUCUUGA